CAACUCUCCCUCUCAGAAUCCUGGGCACAAAAUUUCUAUUGGCUUAGCUUCUGUCAAGUGUUUAAUCCUAGUCACAUAUCAGAGGCUGCAGGUGGAUGGGGUCAUAUGAUAUAAUACGGCCUCGUGGGGAUUGAUCACUGUGGGUGAAGAACUCAGUUAAGGUGGCAUUAGAAGGUGGACAGAUAGCUUGAAAGAUGCUGCCUCACCCAGUUACAGAGCUAAAAACCAGACCUAAGUGUGUGUAAGUCAAAACACUACAGUUGACAACCAACUUCAUAUCUUCUAUCAUUUCAGAGUAGCACGACACUGGUCAAGAAAGGCCCACAUGUUGGUAAUUUGUGCCUCCCAUAUGGUCAAUGCUACAUUGCGAGGAAGCAUGCUGAGCAUGACAGUAUGCUCUACACCUGUGUGGCUACCAUGUUUUGGUUGCCUCCAUAUAAUGGAGUGGUUAAGAGUCCGGGUUCUGGGGCUGAAACACUGGAAUUUGAGCCCCAGCUCUGCCAGUGUGUGCCCUUGAGAAAGCUAACUGCCCUCAUUACAUGUGUUGGUCUUCUCAUCCAUAACAGGCAGAUAAUAUUAGUUUCUAGCUCAAGGGGUUAUUGCCAAGAUCAAAUGAAUGAGUACAGAUUAACUUAUUGAACAACAGCCAAUAAAGGCAAGUUAUUUUGAGAUACUCAGACUGGACACCAUGGGAAACAAUGAUGAAAGACUCUCCCACAGAAAGACAUGGUGUGGUAAGGCAGGGGUUGCAAUAUUCCGGAAGCUCAGUCACCAUAAUGAAAUAAUAGGUCCAGGCAUGAUGGACACAGUUCCUUUGGAGUCAUGUUCCAAUUACCACAUGGAACCAUGGUCCCAGAUGCUGACCAAAUCUGCUGGCCCAGCUUGGCUUCAUUAGUCCCCAGAGAUCACCCAGACAGAUCAAAGAAAACCCAUCCUCAACCAGCCAGAGAUUGCUCAAAAAACCAAUGACUGUCCCACCAGGGACUGGAAUUCCAACUUGCUGGCUAGGUCUGGAGAAGGAGGUGGAGGUGGAACUGCAUCCUUUUUUCCAGUAUGGACUGAGAGCCAACCAUGUGCCAAGGCUGGGAGGAGGUACCGAGGUUGCAGAAAGAAAGGCCCAGUCACGGAAUUCAGAGAACUCAGAGUUCAGUGGGGAAGACAUGGGCAUCCACAAUGAUAUGGGACAAUUCAUGUUUUUCAUUGUUCUGGUAAGAAUUUA
rnacentral:lncRNA from 10 species